GACGAACGCUGGCGGCGUGCCUAAUACAUGCAAGUAGGACGCAGUUGCGAACGGGUGAGCAACGCGUAGGUAACUGCCUAUUAGAGGGGGAUAACUAUUGGAAACGAUAGCUAAAACCGCAUACUAGUAGAUGGACCUGCGUUGUAUUAGCUAGUAGAUAGGGUAAUGGCCUACCUAGGCGACGAUACAUAGCCGACCGGGCAGGGAGAUCGGCCACACUUGGACUGAGACACGGCCCAGACUCCUACGGGAGGCAGCAGUAGGGAAUCUUCGGCAAUGGGUGGAACCCUGACCGAGCAACGCCGCGUGAGAGAAGAAGGGUUUCGGAUCGUAAAGCUCUGUUGUUAAGGAAGCGGUACUUAACCAGAAAGGGACGGCUGACUACGUGCCAGCCGCCGCGGUAAUUC
rnacentral:rRNA from 1 species